UACGGAGGGUGCAAGCGUUAUCCGGAUUCAUUGGGUUUAAAGGGUGCGUAGGCGGGCUAUUAAGUCAGUGGUGAAAUCUUGCGGCUCAACCGUAAAACUGCCAUUGAAACUGAUAGUCUUGAGUUUACUGGAGGUAGGCGGAAUAUGUAGUGUAGCGGUGAAAUGCUUAGAUAUUACAUAGAACACCGAUUGCGAAGGCAGCUUACUAUAGUAACACUGACGCUGAUGCACGAAAGCGUGGGGAGCGAACAGG
rnacentral:rRNA from 1 species